CCCGAAUGUGAGUGCUGGCUUUAAAUUGCACGUCGUGAAGUGAGUUUGCAGUGGCUAAAAUUGAUGUUUUCCCCCACAAUAUAUGUUUGAAGUGGAAUUGUCGUGUGUGUGUGUAAGCUACAUUCCUGUUUGCCAUGCACUCUCUAUGUGUCAUGAGGGCUGACUGUCAAUAUUAAGAGUCCUGCGACACUGAUUUGUUCCAACUGUCUGGAUGUUGAGGAUUUAUCAUCUGGGAUGUGAAUUAACCCCUCUGUUGUGCUAAUAGGAGAAGAGAUGCCCUGUUGAAAUAUUUACUAUCUGCCUCAGAAAAGCUCUGUGCAACCUGUUGACUUCGAGUCUGCUGUAUCCCUGCCAUUCAACUGUAUGAAGAAGCCCCAUUCAGCCUGUUGACUUCGAGUCUGCUGUAUCCCUGCCAUUCAACUGUAUGGUGAGAAGUGUUCGCUCCUUCCAAUACAUGUGAACUGUAUACUUGCUUGAAACAUCCAUUCUGUCUGUCUCAGAAGAAGCCCAUAUUCAGCCUGUUGACUUCGAGUCUGCUGUAUCCCUGCCAUUCAACUGUAUGGUGAGAAGUGUUCGUUCCUUCCACUGCAUGUGAACUGUAUACUUGCCUGAAACAUCCAUUCUGUCCGUCUCAGAAGAAGCCCCAUUCAGCCUGUUGACUUCGAGUCUGCUGUAUCCCUGCUAUUCGUCUGUAUUGUGAGAAGUGUUCGUUCCUUCCAAUGCAUGUGAACUGUAUACUUGCCUGAAACAUCCAUUCUGUCUGUCUCAGAAGAAGCCCAUAUCCAGCCUGUUGACUUCGAGUCUGCUGUAUCCCUGCCAUUCAACUGUAUGGAGAGAAGUGUUCGUUCCUUCCACUGCCUGUGAACUGUAUACUUGCCUGAAACAUCCAUUCUGUCCGUCUCAGAAGAAGCCCCAUUCAGCCUGUUGACUUCGAGUCUGCUGUAUCCCUGCUAUUCGCCUGUAUUGUGAGAAGUGUUCGUUCCUUCCAAUGCAUGUGAACUGUAUACUUGCCUGAAACAUCCAUUCUGUCUGUCUCAGAAGAAGCCCCAUUCAGCCUGUUGACUUCGAGUCUGCUGUAUCCCUGCCAUUCAACUGUAUGAAGAAGCCCAUAUUCAGCCUGUUGACUUCGAGUCUGCUGUAUCCCUGCCAUUCAACUGUAUGUAGAAACCCUGCACAGCCUGUUGACUUAGAGUUUGUUGCAUCCUUGUGGCCCACCUGUGCUGAGAGAGGUGACUGUCCUUUGUCACGAACGUGAGAGGGGCACGCUUUGUCUGGAAUAUCCACUCUGACGGUGUCAGGAGAAGCCACCUUACUGUAAGACCGUGCACCUGCCGUAUACGUGCUUGACUGAUAUCAUUCGCCUCAAAUUCCGUACCUGUGGAAGAAGGAAGGAAGGCUGGAAUUACAUACUUACCGGAGGAGACUUACCGGACCCCUCACUUGCCAAACACAUCCCCACCUCAAGGCUGUGUAUCUGCCGUGUACGGACCUGACCGAUAUCCAUCCGUCCCAAAUUCUGCAUCUGUGAAGAAGGGAAGGGAGUUUGGAAGUAUUUAAUUACCAGAGGAGACUUACCAGACUGCGGGCUUGCCGAUUGUAUUCCCACCUGUGAAAUACCUACUUGACCACCCAUCUGUCCAUCUAUUGCGGGGCCCGCACAGAGGAAGAGGGCGGGAGAGUCCCCGGUCGCUGCAUUGUUUACCUUCAAGCCCUGAGGGUAACAAAGAAGAUUUUAGUUUAGGAUUCCCAAUUUGUUUUUACUU